rnacentral:lncRNA from 1 species
GGACAAGGCAUAGAUGUGCCCCUUUCCCAGGCAAGCAGCUGCCUCCGCUGGGUGGUUUCUGAUCAAAGUGCAGUUUACACAUGCUUUCUCCAGUGAUCUCACAAGGACUAAGCAGACCAUACAUGGCAUUUUGGAGAAAAGCAGAUUUUGCAGAGACAUAGCAGUGAAGUGUGACUCCCAGACUCCUGAAAGGAUGUACGGGUUCACAGAAGGCAAACCGCUAAGCGAGCUUUGGACCGUGGCCAAAGCCGCUGGGGAAGUGUUCCAUGUUCACCCCACCAGGAGGAGAGACAGUAGAGCAGGUAGAAAUGCCUGGAAAGGAUUUCUUUGAUUUCAUUUGCCAGCCAAUCCUGGGCAAGGCAGACCAGAGAGAAAGCUUCUUCCUUGGAGUGCCAGGCAGCUGUUUUGGAAGCUCUUUGGCAGAGAUUUUCCUUUUUGGGAAAACAUGGCAGCUUUGGGCGAAUCCCACAGGUGGCCCCUGGUUUUAGCAGGCAGCAUCUUAGUUGUGAGCCAUGGUGUUUACAUGCGAAGCCUCUUUGGUUAUUUUCUGAGUGACCUCAGAUGCUCAUUGCCAGGCGCAAGAGACAAAUUCGAACUUUCCUCCAUCAUCCCCAGCACUGGCAUCAGUGUCUUCGUCAUAGUCUGCGAGUAAACAUGCGAGCCAUCAAUUCAGUGGGUUUGUAUGAACCUCCAGGAGUAUGUGAAUGGAGUGACU